rnacentral:snRNA from 1 species
GGAUGUGAGGGCGAUCUGGCUGCGACAUCUGUCACCCCAUUGAUCGCCAGGGUUGAUUCGGCUGAUCUGGCUGGCUAGGCGGGUGUCCCCUUCCUCCCUCGCCGCUCCAUGUGCGUCCCUCCCAAAGCUGCGCGCUUGGUCGAAGAGGACGACCAUCCCCGAUAGAGGAGGACCGGUCUUCGGUCAAGGGUAUACGAGUAGCUGCGCUCCCCUGCUAGAACCUCCAAACAAGAUGUGUGUCAUUAUACCUGGCUUAGGCCCUAGUAUUUCUUAGGAGAUGGUAGAAAUAAAGAUUUCAAUGGGGCUGUAUCUUGAAAAAUAAAAAUGAAAGUGAUGGUUUAUUUUU